CCCCUAGAUGUUCUGGGCCGCACGCGCGCUACACUGAACAGUUCAACAAGUCUUAACCUUGGCCGAUAGGUCUGGGUAAUCUUUGAACGCUGUUCGUGAUUGGGAUAGACCUUUGCAAUUAUGGGUCUUCAACGAGGAAUUCCUAGUAAACGCAAGUCAUCAGCUUGCAUUGAUUACGUCCCUGCCCUUUGUACACACCGCCCGUCGCACCUACCGAUUGAACGUUUUAGUGAGGUACUCGGACUGAGCCUCAGAAGAUUCACGUCUUUUGUGCUGCUCGGGAAGAUUCCCAAACUUGAGCGUUUAGAGGAAGUAAAAGUCGUAACA
rnacentral:rRNA from 1 species